AAGGCUUUGGUGGCCUUUGGUGGCCCUCACUAACUCUACUAAUAACUUGCAGUCUUAGCCCCUCUUCAGAGCAUGCUCUCUUCAGAAAGCUAUACGGGCAGUAAACACGUGGCAUUUGAUUUAUAAUAAAUGCACCUUGAGCAAUUUCCAUAAAGCCAAGGACCUGUGCUCUCCAGGCCUCUCCAGGGGUCAGCCAGGUGCCUUCUGAAAUGCCAGGGAAAGGGCAGUGAUUCUGUUUCAUCAGUGGUGGCCUCCAUCCCUGUUGCUUUUAAAAGCUUUUGUAAAGAUGAUUCCCUGGGAUUGUUAAUUACCCCCCGGAAUUAUGCCACUCUGAAAGUGCAGAUUGUUUGUAGACACUGUUACAGUUUGAAGUAGCAGUAGCAGCACCUUGGAACUGACAGUAGAGAAACAAAUUGCACUGCCUGCUUUCGAUAAGCGCCACCGGGACACGCUCUGUUCCUGGGUCUCAUGGCACCUGGUUCUCCCCAGAAACAGGUUAUUUCUGGGGUUUGUUGCAUGGAAGAGCAUUAGUGAUGUCAGCUGUCAAGGCAGAAAGACUUUAAGUCUGCCCACAGUAGAAAGGUGUCAAGCAAAGAAAGGCAAAUUAAGUCACCCUCAUGGUAUGUUUCAAAGCUGGGGGGUAAUUUGGGGAGUGGGACCAAGAUGGAAGCAUGUAUAGGUCCUGAGGGCUGCCAGUCUGCACGAUUCUUAAGUGACAUGCAACACCAAAUCCCAACAAAACCUGGCAGGGGCCAAACAGCACUGUGUCUUAAGUUUUUUUCUCUAAAGAACCAGCAGAGGUGAGAAUGGAUUCUGUAUUACUUGCAGUCAUUGAAAUGCCAGCAAGCAUCUUUAGACACUAGUGUUAAUUCUGAAUGUAUAUUCUUCGAAUCAUCCAAAGCCUUGGAAGAUGACACAGCACAGACGGAUCUUAAUUUUGUAUGCAAGUCACUUGUUAGUAUCUAAAUAUCAGUGUCUAAUAUCAACAUGUUACUAUAGUAGCAGAAAGCAUUGUAGGAUUAGUGGGUCAUAAUCAUUGUCAAAUGGAUGAAUCACAUAAGGAAGGCAAUUACCUCAUUAAGAAUACAUCUAGAGCAGCGCUGUCCAGUAGAACUUUCUGUGGUGUUGGAAUGUUGUAUAUCAUGCUUUCCAAUAUGAUAGCUGCCAACCAUUUGUAGGUACUGAGCACAAUUUAUUUUAAAAAUUAUUUAGUUUAAAUUUAGAUAACUGAACGUGACUAGAGUAUUGGAUAAUGCAAUUCUAGGGUGUAUAUUUCAUAACUAAGGAGGAGUCACUUCUGUUCCCUGGCAUCAAGGUCAGUAAUGUCUCUACACAAGGAAAUCCUCCAGGGUGGCUAUAGGGGCCUGUGAAACCAGAGGUUGUCAAGCUCUGUUUGGAGAUGCACCAUAAAGCCCAGGGCUGUAAGUGCCUGGGGCAGGCGUUUCUGGCCUGAUUCAUGGGCCUUGGGAGUGGUGGGAAGGAGCGUUUGCCUCCCGCUUCCUGCAGGAACCCUCAUUGUCCAACUUAGGUUGGAGCCAUAGGAGCUCCUUUGAACGUCUCUGGUCUCCAUAGAUACCCUGUGUGGCUGCACAUAGCUUUAUGCUUUUCCCCAGGAAACUGAUGGCCAGUGGUACUGACACCCUGAAGAUAUGCGGCGAGAUGUUGGAGGUAGCAGCUACACAGGCUGCUAUUGGCAACUUUUUUUUCUCUUAGGAGAAUUGGGGCACCCAAAGGGAGGUUUUCUCUGGCCCCACUGCCUGAGCGUGUUGGGCAAGCAGAACCCCAGAAAGAACACCUUGAAAGUGCACAAAGCCAUUGAUUGUCUCUCUUACCGUUAUGGUUUGGGCAAUCCAGGCUGAGUUAACUUCCUUUGCUCUCUCUCCCCACCCUGCUUUCCAAAAGCACAGAAAAUUUAUGAUCUUUUUCCUUCAGAUUUGCCUUGAAUGUUUGAAAUGCUGUCAUAUCCUCCCUUGGCUUUAAGUGGCAUUAAAUCCAGCCUUCCCAUCUUGAAGACAACGUGAAAUGUCCUCUGGCAAGCGUAACUGUGAAGUCCUCCACCGAGCCUGUCACAUCUUCCUCCAUGCGGCCAUGUCUAGCACUGCGCCAUAGCCAUGUGGCUGUGUCUAGGGAGGGUGGGCAUUGAAACCCACCCUCCCUUGAAACGCAUGUGAAUUGGGGUAAAGUUAGUGGGUUUUAGGGUGUUGCUGCUCUGAAAAAGCUCAGGUUUUCCACUGACCAGGAAAGAAAUAGGAUAGUAUGUUAUUUCCCUAGAAUUUUUUAAAAAGGACAAGCUAAUCAUAAUCAUAAAAGGAACCUAUUUCUCAUGAGGUAGUGUCUUUACUAAUAAACGUGGCAGAGGUAGAAGCACCUUUAAGCUGUUUGCCAUCUGGACAAGCAGCAGUCAUGACUUUUCAGUGGCAGAUAGUUGCAGUCCACAAAAUCAUAAAAAUCAUGAGAAUUUUGUUCCAGGGACAAGGUGAUGCUUGAGCCUGAGUUGCCAAGUUAAGACUUCAGCUUCUGUUUUCACUCCCAGGACAUGGAAUGACUCAUCUAGUCCCCAGGUUUGGGCUCCCACUCCUCAUGCCCAGGGCUCCUUCCCCAAGGUCAUCUAUCGAUGGGCAGGUAUUUUGGCCUGGCGCAGUCCUGCCCCCAGCCCUGCAAGCUCAAGGUGCAGCAGAGAAGUGCGCUGAGGGUGACAGGUCCUCGCAGGACUCUGUGGCAGUGCUGCUCCAAGCGGUUCAAGCAGAGCAGUUCAUCCUGUCAUUCUCACAGCAGCCCUCUUAGGAGCUGGGCAGUGUCAGUUACUGCUGCGGAGGCUGAGGCUGUGUCACUGCCAGGGUUUCCCUCUGAUCCAUGACAAGAAGAAGGUGGGAGGGAGAAACAAGAGCACGGCAGGGAAAGGGGACUCGCAGAGGUGGGAGAGGACGGGGUGGUGGAAGGUUAUGCCCCAGCAGGGCUCCAGGUAGAGGAGGGCUCCAGGGUCACCUCGGGGAACAGCAGGAAUGAGCUCAGGGUCCCCACAGCACAGCCAAAGGGAAGGGGCACUCAGGAACACUGCAGGCAAGAAGACAAAGGCUGGAGUGAGCUGGCUAUUGAGCAGCGGGAGCCAGGUGCCACCAUCUGCAGACCCAGCUCGGAGGCUGUUGUCUCUCCAGGGGCUCUAGGUCUGCCAGAUCCCUGCCGCCAUCACUGGCCACCGACGCUGUGGCUGCCCCACCACCUCUCCAUGGCCUGCUUUGGCCCCUCCUGCCUCUGCUUGCCCUGCAUUCCUCCUUCUGCACUCACCCUCACCUUUGUACGCUCUCGCCCUGCUCUCGUCUUGCCUCCCCCUGCCCUUCUCCCUGACCCUCCCUGACCCUCCGUUUGCCCUGCCCUCUUCCAGCCCCUGACCUGUCCUUGUCCUCUCCCUCCCUGGCAGUCCUUCCUCUCUUUGUUUGGAAAGAUGGCCUUUGCAGCUGAUUGUGCAAACCUGAGUCCACUCCAGCAACACACACUGUACAUAGUGAUCCUUUCCUCCUUUUUUUCUGUAUAUGAUGAUUUUACCCUCGCAUUUCUUUUGUACAUGGUGAUCCUAUCCUUGCUUUUUUUUGGGGGGGGGGUACCAGGGAUCGAACUCGUGACCUUGUGCCUGCGAGGCAGGCAGCGGAACCACUGAGCUACGUCCCUGGCCCCUCUCCUUGCUUUUUUAACAAGAGUCCUUCAUUCUGCCCCUGACUGCUUGAAACGGACCUAGUCUUGCAUCCUGCAGAAUAUCCUUCAUUAUGGAUUCAUCUGGUCGCUGCCUGGUGGUGUCUUUUAUUUUUCUAGCCACUGUUUCCUAUAAACAGGAAGUUAGUUCUAUAGACUUGAUAAAUUAAAAUUUAUGAUUGAAAUACAUUCCAGGUGAUGUUCUCUGCAUGUUGUAUCAGGGGUGCCCAGAGGCCCAGAUGUCUCUCCAUCCCUACCUUUUUCAGGAGAUGAAAUUAUCCUUGAAACUCCCUGAUGCUUCAGCUGCAUCUAAAUCCAAGUAGCAUUGGGUAUUUGUAUCACUUUUUCUGGGACCGAGACCUAGCAUAGCCUGCAUUACCUUCUGCUUGCAAGCUACAAAUAUAAAGAGCACGUACAUAUUCCAAAUAGAAUAUGUGUAAGUGGGGAUAUAUAUUUUAUACACAUACUUGCAAACCUCAUCAUGCCCUGAACACUGAUGCAGAGAGCAAGUGUGGUACAGUGGUCAGAGGCACCAUUCCUACUCCAGCCCCGCACACCAUAUGGCUGAUCAUAGCAGUAGCUCAAUAAAAGUUUCGUAGUUGUUCAAAGAAUGUAGGCUUUAGAAUCAAGCAAAGUACAUUUUAGAUCUAGUUUGGCCCUUUCAUUCCAUUUGAACAUGGACAGAUUAAUAAAUUUUUGUAGCUUCCAUAGUUUCAUCCACUAAGAGGCAGUGAUAAGUCUUGCAGAGUGUUGGGAAGGAUUCCAUGAGGGACUGUGAACCUUGUCCGGCCGAGUGCCACACAUCCAGCCAACACUAAACCUGGGGUGUUUCUUCCCUGUCUGGUCAGUUAAUGGUACUGAACCUUACAGGAUAAUCCCUGCUCUCAGUGAAGAAGAGUAGUAUCUUUUCAGAGUCCCUGAGCUUUUCAAGAUGAGAAUGUAGGAAGGAAGGCAGGCACGACUACAGCACCAGUGGGAGCCUGAGAGAGGACCUCCCCUCAGAUGCCAAAAUGUGUGCGUGCUGAAGUACCUUCUAUGAAAUGGCGUGUAAAUACCUGCAUCUUCCUGUAUACUGUAAGUCACUUCUGGAUUACUUAUGAUGCCUCAUAUGACACAAAUGCUCUGUAAAUAUUUGCUAUAGUAUAUUUGUUUAGGGACAAUAAUGACAAGGGGGAAAAGUCUGUACAUGUUGAAUAUAGACUUUUAAAAAAUUGAUCUGCAGUUGGUUGAAUCUGCAGAUGUGGAUCCUGUAGAUUCAGAGAACUGACUACAUCAUAUUUUUGUAGAUGCCUUGAGGAAAUAUUUGCUGUAUCUGUGGAAUCCUGAUGGAAUUAUUGAGUUCCUUCUGAUCUUCAGGUCAAAACCGGGGAAGCUUUAUUCAAAGGAGUUUCUUAGGGCACCCCUGGCUCCACCCCAAAGGGUUAUUCAGAAACUCUGCUGGACUAUGGUCCAUGCUUGUCCUGGACCCAGAGGUAUUUGUAAUGUGGUUCAACUGAAAAGCAACUUUUCCUCCCUGGCCACCCGUGUAAAAUGUCCGUAAGUGCCCAGUGAAAAACAGUUGGGUGAAACUUUCAGCAAAACAGAUGAAAGGAGCAAGCUCAACACUUCCAAGGCUGUCUGAUAACAAACUCUCAGAAGAAGAAACGAGUAAGAAACUGGAGUGCAGCAUUGGGUUCCCCACAGGGCUCUUACUGGAAAUAAAGUAUCAUUGUACUAGGUUGAGAUGAUGGCAGGAUAAGGCUGCUGUGCUCCAGCAGUUGUCUUCAUAGCCGUGGUUUGUUGGCUUUUGUCAUUCUUAAAUAAUAAAAACUAUACCCAG